AUGAAUUUCUGAAAGAUCGAUAUAUUUUGGCGAAGGCUGUUUAGGGCUGAACCAGGCCGGCCUACCACUGCAGGAGGGGUAGUUGCGAAAUUUACCUCAUGCGGGUGGGGGAAUGCGAUGUCGAGCGGCAGCAAAAUGGCGGAUGGUGGAUUUUGUCAUUUUGAGUUUUGACCAUUGGUUUUGACUAAAUUAGGUGGAUACAUAACAAAUUACUGUAUGAACAUUCGGAAGUCGGAACAUGGGAAUCCGAAUGAGAUUUCAAUAUUUCAUGCCAUCGUGAAUUGAAUUCGUGAUAUCAUCAAGCCUCUGGGAUUUUGAUAAAAAAUAUUUACUUGUGACACUAUAAAGUACCUGGUCCAACUUCCAUGCCUUUUUCAAGAAACCCAGAUUCAUGAUUGUCAGAUUGCAAUUUAUAACAAAUCCAUUGCUGGUGGCGCAUUGUCAAAGUGUAUGGUUGUUGUCAUUUGACGAUAACUUUUGUUCUGUUAUUGGUGAUGGCCUAUUACUAUCAUUGUAAUAUCCAAAGUCGUAUUUGGCAAUUCGGUCAUUCAAGAUUUCCAAGAUUUCAUUUCCUCAGCAGUAGCAAGGCAGUAACGACACGGUCUGUGUGCGCUGCAACUCUCUUUGAAUCCUCCCAACUGUUGGG